AACGAACGCUGGCGGCAGGCCUAACACAUGCAAGUCGAGCGCGCCCUUCGGGGUGAGCGGCGGACGGGUGAGUAACGCGUGGGAACGUGCCCUUUUCUACGGAAUAGCCUCGGGAAACUGAGAGUAAUACCGUAUACGCCCUUUGGGGGAAAGAUUUAUCGGAAAAGGAUCGGCCCGCGUUGGAUUAGGUAGUUGGUGGGGUAUUGGCCUACCAAGCCGACGAUCCAUAGCUGGUUUGAGAGGAUGAUCAGCCACACUGGGACUGAGACACGGCCCAGACUCCUACGGGAGGCAGCAGUGGGGAAUCUUAGACAAUGGGGGCAACCCUGAUCUAGCCAUGCCGCGUGAGUGAUGAAGGCCUUAGGGUUGUAAAGCUCUUUCAGCUGGGAAGAUAAUGACGGUACCAGCAGAAGAAGCCCCGGCUAACUCCGUG
rnacentral:rRNA from 1 species